rnacentral:rRNA from 1 species
UUAAAUUGAAGAGUUUGAUCAUGGCUCAGAUUGAACGCUGGCGGCAGGCCUAACACAUGCAAGUCGAACGGUAACAGGAAGAAGCUUGCUUCUUUGCUGACGAGUGGCGGACGGGUGAGUAAUGUCUGGGAAACUGCCUGAUGGAGGGGGAUAACUACUGGAAACGGUAGCUAAUACCGCAUAACGUCGCAAGACCAAAGAGGGGGACCUUCGGGCCUCUUGCCA